GCUCGCCGCCCGUACCUGCCCCGUCGCCCCUUCUCCACCGAGCCUCCCCCUUCACCUGCUCCCGCUGCCCUGCUGCCUUUGUCUGGGCGGCAUAAAGAGCGAAACCCAGCGCCGGACCAGCCCGCAGCAGCACGGCCCAACCCGAAAUGCAAUAAAAUAAAAAAAGUCGCACACGUUUCCUGCCCUAUAUGAAGACAUAACAAGCUAACCCAAACCUCUCCCCGGCCACACGUGCACGCAGGCACUGCGAGGUACGUAGAUUUCUCAUCUCCGGGCAUGGUUGGUUUGGGGUGUCUUUGGCUGGGUUUUAAUCUCGUGGGUCGCUUUUUCCUUUUCUUUAUUUAUUCCCCCCCCCCCCCCCCCCUUUUAUUUUUUCUCCACGAGCCCGACGGCCGGGGAAGGAGCCUCACUUCACCAGCAGAGCAGGCAAAAGCCAUUGUCCCACCCUGCGGGGCGCGGUGCCCCCCCCUCGGGAGCUGCAAUUCCUCCCUAGGGCUCGGGGCUUCCCCCCUUCUUCUCGGCCCCGCUCGGGCUGUGGGGUUUAACACCGGGAGGGGGCCAGGAGGGGAAAAAA